AAUAGACCUUCGGAGAUAGGGAUGCAGAACCCUAGACCCUAGGUUCAGCCGAGCGAAGCGAGACAACGUUGCCCGGCGAAGCAGAAAAGCAACGGCCUAAAGGGCAAGGGAGUGAAACGACCGAGUAAAUCCCCAUCCCUCAGCCA
rfam:Enterovibrio coralii strain CAIM 912 contig00006, whole genome shotgun sequence.